rnacentral:lncRNA from 1 species
UUGGUGCUUAAACUGUUUCUUUCAGUCAGAUUAACCAUAAAUAGAGUUGGCAAUCCAAUAAUUCCUCCUGAAUCACCAUGUUUGACUUCUGUGUUGAUUUGAAACAUCAUAUGUUUGGGUUUUGUUCACUCCUUAAGUAAAAAUGGUAAGAUGAAAAAAAGUGAAAAUCUGCCAGAUGGGGUAGGGAUGUAAUGUUUCAUUUUUUUUUUGUAAGAAAUAAGUGCAGACUAGUAUUCUUUAUUGUAAUAUGUUCCAAAGUAAGAAGUCUAUG